rnacentral:rRNA from 1 species
CACGUAGGGUGCGAGCGUUGUCCGGAAUUAUUGGGCGUAAAGAGCUCGUAGGCGGUGUGUCGCGUCGGCCGUGAAAACCUGCAGCUUAACUGUGGGCGUGCGGUCGAUACGGGCAUCACUGGAGUUCGGCAGGGGAGACUGGAAUUCCUGGUGUAGCGGUGAAAUGCGCAGAUAUCAGGAGGAACACCGAUGGCGAAGGCAGGUCUCUGGGCCACUACUGACGCUGAGAAGCGAAAGCGUGGGGAGCGAACAGG